UGAUCAUGUUUGUCUAGAACAGCUGUCAAGAUGGCAAGACUGUACCUGACCUUGUGGGUCAGGCAGGAAAAGGAAUGCCCUGGGAACAAACUUCAGUCCAUGAUGGAAGAGGAGCUGGUUGUGAGUAGUGUCCCAGAACGUCUGCACCACGACUUCUUUAUCCUGCCACCCACCAGCGGACAUCUAGGUUGGUUCCAGUAUUGACUAUCGUGAAUAAGGCUGCUGUGACCCUCCGACU